UACGUAGGGUGCGAGCGUUAAUCGGAAUUACUGGGCGUAAAGCGUGCGCAGGCGGUUCGUUAAGUCAGAUGUGAAAGCCCCGGGCUCAACCUGGGAACUGCAUUUGAAACUGGCGGGCUUGAGUGUGGCAGAGGGGGGUGGAAUUCCGCGUGUAGCAGUGAAAUGCGUAGAGAUGCGGAGGAACACCGAUGGCGAAGGCAGCCCCCUGGGCCGACACUGACGCUCAUGCACGAAAGCGUGGGGAGCAAACAGG
rnacentral:rRNA from 1 species